AUUUCGUCGUCCCCCCUCCCUCCUCACCCAUGGCCCGAAAGGGCCGCGGGCCUUAUCGUGGGGGCGGAAGUUGGCUUCCCGUGCAGUGUUUGCGGCUAGCCUGAAACACGGUUCCCUCGCCGCGGACGUCGCGACAAGUGGUGGUCGUCGAGAUUGUACGCGAGUUGCCGGCAAUCUGCGUCGAGGAGAGCCUUUGGAUCCUGUUCGUGCGAGAUGAGUCCUUCACCGAGGGGCAAUUCCAACGAUUGCGACCCCAGGUCAGGC
rnacentral:rRNA from 1 species